AGCAAAAAAAUAAAGCUAGCUUUAAUAUAAAACUUUAACUAGUAUACAACCUGUAGUAGUUAAAACAAUAUAAAAUUUUACUUAACCAGAUAUUGCACGUUAAACUCUAGGAACAUUAACAUGGAAACAUUCUCCGCAUCUAACACGUUCCGAGAUAAAGUACAGAUCCGUCAAGAAAGGGAACUAACAUUCUGACCUCCUUCCAAAAUGACAAACUAGAACGGCAAAAUUACACUCAGGCACACUGGAGUACUCUUCCCUCAAAUCCCUCCACAGAGCACUUCAUCAUUUGCUCCGCCCUCUAAUAACUCAUGCAAGAAAAGUUCAGCACCAUCAGAGAGAAACAAGACACAAUUCAGAGAACGGCUUUAGGGCCUUUCCUCCAGGCGCUGCCGUGUCAUGAGAACACUGAAGCAGCUCAGGAACUGAGGCCUCCUGCCCACAGCCAGCGCUGACUUUCCAGCCCCGUUCAAACAUUCAGAUCCUGCAGCCCCAGCUGACACCUUCGCUAGAACCUGAGGAGAGCCCUGCCGGACCCACCCAGCUAAGCUACCCCCGAAUUCCUCACCCACAGGAGCUAUGUGAGAUAAUUUAUUACGUGAACCCUUUCCUGAAGGAAGAAAUGGAGAAUGGCCCAGAUGACUAAAUGACGGAACGAUCACGUAAUCCAAGGAUAGGACCCUGAACAAUAUGCCCAGUUAUAACCAGCAUGAACAGAGCUCUCCUCCUCAUCCUGCAACUCAAGAAGUCCAUGACAGACUCUCGCUGUGUCGCCCAGGCUGGAGCGCAG